GACGAACGCUGGCGGCGUGCCUAAUACAUGCAAGUUGAGCGCUGAAGGUUGGUACUUGUACCAACUGGAUGAGCAGCGAACGGGUGAGUAACGCGUGGGGAAUCUGCCUUUGAGCGGGGGACAACAUUUGGAAACGAAUGCUAAUACCGCAUAAAAACUUUAAACACAAGUUUUAAGUUUGAAAGAUGCAAUUGCAUCACUCAAAGAUGAUCCCGCGUUGUAUUAGCUAGUUGGUGAGGUAAAGGCUCACCAAGGCGAUGAUACAUAGCCGACCUGAGAGGGUGAUCGGCCACAUUGGGACUGAGACACGGCCCAAACUCCUACGGGAGGCAGCAGUAGGGAAUCUUCGGCAAUGGACGAAAGUCUGACCGAGCAACGCCGCGUGAGUGAAGAAGGUUUUCGGAUCGUAAAACUCUGUUGGUAGAGAAGAACGUUGGUGAGAGUGGAAAGCUCAUCAAGUGACGGGAACUACCCAGAAAAGGACGGCUAACUACGU
rnacentral:rRNA from 1 species